AUUCCGCCGCCGGCUUUGCUAUGGCGGUUAUUCCCCCAGAUUCCUGGCAGCCACCCAACGUUUACUUGGAGACCAGCAUGGGAAUCAUUGUGCUGGAGCUGUACUGGAAGCAUGCUCCAAAGACCUGUAAGAACUUUGCUGAGGUGGCUCGUCGAGGUUACUACAAUGGCACAAAAUUCCGCAGAAUUAUCAAAGACUUCAUGAUCCAAGGAGGUGACCCAACAGAGACAGGUCAAGGUGGUGCAUCUAUCUAUGGCAAACAGUUUGAAGAUGAACUUCAUCCAGACUUGAAGUUCAUGGGGGCUGGAAUUCUCACAAUGGCCAAUGCGGGGCCAGACACCAAUGGCAGCCAGUUCUUUGUGACCCUUGCCCCCACCCAGUGGCUCGAUGGCAAACACACCAUUAUUGGCCGAGUGUGCCAGAGCAUAGGAAUGGUGAAUCACGUGGGAAUGGUAGAAACAAACUCCCAGGACCGCCCUGUGGAUGAUGUGAAGAUCACUAAGGCAUACCCUUCUGGGUAGACUUGCUACCCUCUUGAGCAGCUCUUCUGAGAUAGCCCCAGUGGACCAGCUUCCAAAUGACAUAGAAUGACAUGUAAUGCUAAAUUUCAUUUUGGCUUUGCAAAUCAUGAAGCUUAGGAGGCCUGGGGUCUUGGGUGAGUUAGAGAUGGAAGUACAUUUUAAUAGGAUGCUUCUUUUCUCUUCCCCUAGUGCCUACGUUGCCAGAGCAUUUGCACAAAUGCCCCUGUUUAGGUGACUACUUACUACACAUGACUCAUAAUGCUGCUUCUUGUGCAUGUCUGCUCUGAUAUACUUCGAACAAUGUAGCAGACACUGUCAUUUCUCAGUGGUUUUGCCUAACCAAACUUCUUCCUAAGCAGAUUUGUAUUCUGGCCUAUACUGCAGUCCUUGAUUGUUGACAGCCACAGAAUUCCAAAC